GUUUACAACUUGAUGUUUUUAUUCUCAUUCCUUUUCUUUUCUUGUUGCAGUGACUCAUACAUGGCUGAAAAUAUACAAAGUGAUAAGGUAAUGAUGGGUGAAAGUGGGGCUUCUAAUUCAAAUGCAACAAGUCAAGCUCAAACAACGGAGUCAAAUAUAACCAAAAAAGGAGAAAAAGGUCUGUUGUGUGGGAUCAUUUUACAGAAAUUAUUACUUCUGAAGGGAGUACAAAAGCAAAAUGUGACUAUUGCUUUAUUGAGUAUGUAUUUAAGACCAAAGACGCUAGAUUUCCUAUUCUUGCGGAGACGGCUCGUGAUAUAUUAGCUGUUUCGGUUUCAAGUGUGGCAUCCGAAUGUGCAUUUAGUUCGGGAGGACGUCUUCUUGAUUCAUUUAGGAGUUCAUUAACUCCUAAAUUGGUGCAAGCUCUAGUGUGUCUUCAAGAUUGGCUUCGAAAUGAAAAAUUAAAACAACCCAUUAGUGUUGAGGAAGAUCUUGAUAAAAUUGAGCAGCUUGAACAAGAUUUAGCCAGCAAUGGAAAAGACCCUUC